rnacentral:sRNA from 1 species
AUCAGUAGAAGAAACUGAAGUUAAGUUGCUCUGUCAAAGCUAUUGAGGGCUUCAGGUAUAUAUGCCUUAGACCCAAUGAAGAGUCAGCCACAUCACCCAGGAAAGCAGUUAAUUAUCAAAACACAUAGAAGCUGUAUAUUAGAGGUUAAAAUUAUGAUAGUUAAGUCACUCAAUGGUUUAAAAAGUUGCCAUUCCCUGUAGCAGGAUUAAUCAUUUAUAAAAUAAAGUCCCUAUCCAUUACUUGCUUCACAUAACUUUUUUUAUGUGAAAUAGUGUUUUAUUGAAUUAAGUUCCAUAUCUGAGUUUUUUAGAUAACAUAUUGAUUUUAAAAUCUAAGUGUUAUAAUUCUUCAAACAAAUAAAGUUUGUCUUGGAGACCUUCAAAUUAGCUUUUCCUUUUUGCAAUAGCUGUUCAUAGUUUCAAGUUGAGUCGAAACCAUGUGGACUGGCACAGUGUGGAUGAAGUAUAUCUUUAUAGUGAUGCAACAACAUCUAAAAUUGCAAGAACAGUUACCCAAAAACUGGGAUUUUCUAAAGCAUCAAGUAGUGGUACCAGACU